rnacentral:rRNA from 1 species
UACGAAGGGUGCAAGCGUUGUUCGGAUUUAUUGGGCGUAAAGCGCGCGCAGGCGAAUCAGCAAGUCAUGUGUGAAAUCUCGGGGCUUAACCCCGAAAUUGCGCCUGAAACUACUGGCCUUGAAUGUCGGAGAGGGAAGGGGAAUUUCUCAUGUAGGGGUAAAAUCCGUAGAUAUGAGAAGGAACACCGGAGGCGAAGGCGCCUUCCUAGACGAUUAUUGACGCUGAGGCGCGAAAGCGUGGGGAGCAAACAGG